UUUCCCUUUAUUGCUCUUUGUGAAGCGCUCUCUCUCCAGGAAUAAACACGCCAGCGCCGGUCGGUAAUCAUGAUCAUCAUCAUCAUCAUCACAGGCGGACAAAGGAGCAAGGCUUAGCUCGGUGUGUCAGCUAAGUAGCAGUUCGGGAACUGUACCCCGCAGGUCGGCACGUUAAGUGGGUGGCAGUUCGGGAGCCGAGAGGCGUGUUAGGUAAGUGGCAGUGCGGGAACCGAGGUAAGCACAAAAUUGGGUACCGUCGUGACUGGACGACGUUUCACUGAGCGUACAAAGAUCGGCGAGUUAGGUAAGCGGCAGUUCAGGAACCAAGGUAAGGACAAAACUUAAUGCCGUUGUAACUUUUUUCACUGAGCGCAUGAAAAUCAACUUCAAAUACUGUGAUACCCACAGCAUACUGCAGUUUCGGACAGAGGUAAGUUAUUGACGUAGCAGAUUGUGCGAGCUAAAGCAAUGCGAACUUCUAUGUGUAUUUGCAGAGUGAUGGCAAAAAGAACGGUAAGCGGAUGGGCGAAGCAGCUUGCUAUACAGAGUUGGAAUGUUAACUAUUUUUUUCUUUUCAGAGAGACUGCUGGUCCAGGCAGUCAUCCAGGCGCACUGUCACUUCUUGACAUGCGCUACGGAAUUACUUCACAACCCGCACCCGGACACAGUUUGCCGUCAAUGUACAGUGACUUAGCGACGUGUGGCCUGCCUUGCACUGAACGCUUGUUCGUUUUGUUCUUGCCUGUUGUAUGACUCCAAACUCCACAGUAACUAUGUUGUGUUGUGCGCGGCUACUGUGUGUUUGCUGCUGGAUAUCAUUAAAGGUAUGUGCGGUAUGUGGAUGUAAUAAAAUGUUGGAUGGCGCA